CGAACGUUGGCUGACACAAGGUGUGUGUAUAUGGCUGAAGGAUCAUGUCAUACACUAAAAGUAGGGAAAGCAUUUUCUUUUUUUUUUUACAUAUACUUCAUUUAAAAUAAAAUAACAAAGCUCCUUUUGAAGUUGAUGAAAGGAUUUGAGGUGACAGUUGUCCUUUGUGUGUAAUAUUGCCCCACUCAAACAAUAACUAUUAACACGGCCAUUACAGUAACAUACAGGGGAGAGACAGACUUUUGCAGAAUAACACGGUUUUAGCAACACGUUUGGCUGCACACAUUUUAUUGUCAUUGCAUUGUGAGUGCUGCUAUUAAUUAUAGUUGUUAUAAUAACCAUAACCACUAUAGUAGUGGGAGUAACCGUACGGGUAUGUCACUGUAGUAUAAAUCACAUAUGCGAUCCAAGCAAGGUUGCCAGCGAUUCCCAGUCCCAGAGACACCAUGUUUAGUUUAAACGCUGUGCGCGAAUCACUUGCUGCUGAAAUCAUGUCACCGCGUCUCAGUGAUUCCCGCACCUGAGAGAAUAAAAAAAGCCAUGUUACUGAUUAUAGUUAUGUUUGGUAUUAGUCAGCGCGGCAUGCUUUACAGUAAUGCAGAAUAAUUAGAUGGACACAGAACUAGCGAGCAGACCUUAGG